UACGUAGGGGACGAGCGUUGUCCGGAUUCAUUGGGCGUAAAGCGCGCGUAGGCGGCCCGGUAAGUCCGUUGUGAAAGUCAAAGGCUCAACCUUUGAACGCCGAUGGAUACUGCCGGGCUAGAGUCCGGAAGAGGCGAGUGGAAUUCCUGGUGUAGCGGUGGAAUGCGCAGAUAUCGAGGAGGAACACCAAUAGCGAAGGCAGCUCGCUGGGACGGUACUGACGCUGAGGCGCGAAAGCGUGGGGAGCGAACAGG
rnacentral:rRNA from 1 species